AUGGGGGCUGGGGUUAUGGGGCUACGGGAUGUGGGGGUCUUGGAUGUGGGGCUGGGAGUUGUGGGGCUGGGGGUUAUGGGGCUGUGGGAUGUGGGGCUGAGGGUUAUGGGGCUGUGGGAUGUGGGGCUGGGGGUUAUGGGGCGCCGCUGUGGGGCUCGGCCCCAUAAGAAUGCCGCUAUGGGGCGCGUGGUGCAGCGCAGCAUUGUGGUGCUAUGGGGCAGAGUUAUAGGGCAGAGCUGUGGGGAGGAUCUAUGGGGCAGCGCUAUGGGGCAGAGCUUUGGGAAGAUCUAUGGGGCAGAGGUGUGGGGCAGAGCUAUGGGGAGGAUCUAUGGGGCAGAGUUAUAGGGCAGAGUUACAGGGCAGAAGCUUUGGGAAGGUCUAUGGGGCAGAGGUGUGGGGCAGAGCUAUGGGGAGGAUCUAUGGGGCAGAGUUAUGGGGAAGAUCUGUGGGGCAGAGGUGUGGGGCAGAGCUAUAGGGAAGGGAUGCGGGGCAGAGAUGUGGGGCAGCCCUAUAUGUCCCACUGGGUCACUCAUUAAUGCGCCCCACACGGAUCAGUGGGCAGCGCCGCCCCCUUCGUGUGGGGCAGAGACCUCUGCCCCAUAGAUCACGUGGGGUGGGACGGAGUCCCUCCGUGCCCCAUAGAUCUCACGGUGUGGGGCAGAGUCCCUCUGUGCCCCAUAGAUCUCAUGGUGUGGGGUGGGAUCCAUCUGUGCCCCAUAGAUCUCACGGUGUGGGGCAGAGUCCCUCCGUGCCCCAUAGAUCUCACGGCGUGGGAGACCCAUAAGGACAUGUUGGGACCCAUAGAUGUGGGGCAGACCCAUAGGGACACGUUGGGACCCAUAGAUGUGGGGCAGACCCAUAGAUGUGGGGCAGACCCAUAGGGACACGUUGGGACCCAUAGAUGUGGGGCAGACCCAUAGGGACACGUUGGGACCCAUAAAUGUGGGGCAGACCCAUAGGGACACGUUGGGACCCAUAAAUGUGGGGCAGAUCCAUAGGGACACGUUGGGACCCAUGGAUGUGGGACAGACCCAUAGGGACACGUUGGGACCCAUAGAUGUGGGGCAGACCCAUAGAUGUGGGGCAGACCCAUAGGGACACGUUGGGACCCAUAGAUGUGGGGCAGACCCAUAGGGACACGUUGGGACCCAUGGAUGUGGGACAGACCCAUAGGGACACGUUGGGACCCAUAAAUGUGGGGCAGACCCAUAGAUGUGGGGUGGGACCCCCCCAGUGCCCCCCAAGUGCUCACAGCCACCACUGCUCACUACCAACACUACUUUAUUGUACGGCAGCGCCAUGGGGUGGGACCCAUAGAUGUGGGGCAGACCCAUAGAUGUGGGGCAGACCCAUAGAUGUGGGCUGGGACCCAUAGAUGUGGGGUGGGACCCAUAGAUGAGGAACAGACCCAUAGAUGUGGGGCAGACCCACAGAUGUGGGGUGGGACCCAUAGAUGAGGGGCAGACCCAUAGAUGAGGAACAGACCCAUAGAUGUGGGGUGGGACCCAUAGAUGAGGGGCAGACCCAUAGAUGUGGGGCGGGACCCAUAGAUGUGGAGCAGACCCACAGAUGUGGGGUGGGACCCAUAGAUGUGGGGCAGAGUCACCACUGUGGGGCAGAGGCCUCAUCUAUGGGGCAGAGCCAUGGGGUAGAGGCCUCAUCUAUGGGGCAGUCGCCAUCUGUGGGGCAGAGGCAUCAUCUAUGGGGCAGAGGACUCAUCUAUGGGGCAGAGGCCCCAUCUAUGGGGCGGAGGCGCGAUGUGUGGGGCAGAGCCAUGGGGUAGAGGCCUCAUCUAUGGGGCACAGGCAUCAUCAAUGGGGCAGAGGCCCCAUCCAUGGGGCAGAGGCAUCAUCUAUAGGGCACAGGCCUCAUCUAUGGGGCGGAGGCCUCAUCUAUGGGGCACAGGCCUCAUCAAUGGGGCAGAAGCAUCAUCUAUGGGGCAGAGCCAUGGGGCAGAAGCCUCAUCUAUGGGGCAGAGCCAUGGGGCAGAGGCCUCAUCAAUGGGGCAGAGCCGCCAUCUAUGGGGCAGAGGCCUCAUCUAUGGGGCAGAGCCAUGGGGCAGAAGCCUCAUCUAUGGGACAGAGGCCUCAUCUAUGGGGUACAGGCCUCAUCUAUGGGGCAGAGGCCUCAUCUAUGGGGCAGAGGCCCCAUCUGUGGGGCGGAGGCGCGAUGUGUGGGGCAGAGCCAUGGGACAGAGGCCUCAUCUAUGGGGCAGAAGCAUCAUCUAUGGGGCAGAGGCCUCAUCUAUGGGGCAGAAGCCUCAUCUAUGGGGCAGAGGCCCCAUCCGUGGGGCAGAGGCGCGAUGUGUGGGGCUCAGUAGUUGGAGGAGCGCUCCUGCUGUCUGUAGGCCCCACGGCGAAGGUAACCGCCGUCCCCCUUCCGGUAGCCGUCCUUCUGAUCUGUGGGGCACAGGAACACUUAUGGGGCACAGCAGCACUUAUGGGGCAGAGAGGUACUUAUGGGGCACAGAAACACAGGGCAGAGGAGUACUUAUGGGGCACAGAAACACGGGGCAGAGGAGCACUUAUGGGGCACAGAAAGACAGGGCAGAGGAGCACUUAUGGGGCACAGGAACAUUUAAGGGGCAGAGGAGCACUUAUGGGGCACAGAAACACGGGGCACAGGAACACUUAUGGGGCACAGGAGCACUUAUGGGGCAGAGAAGCACUUAUGGGGCAGAGAGGCACUUAUGGGGCAGAGGAGCACUUAAGGGGCAGAGAAGCACAGGGAAGAGAGGCACUUAUGGGGCAGAAAGGCACUUAUGGGGCAGAGGAGCACUUAUAGGGCAGAGAGGCACUUAUGGGGCACAGAAACACGGGGCAGAGGAGUACUUAUGGGGCACAGGAACAUUUAAGGGACAGAGGAGCACUUAUGGGGCAGAGGAACACUUAUGGGGCAGAGAGGUACUUAUGGGGCAGAGAGAUACUUAUGGGGCACAGAAACACGGGGCACAGGAGUACUUAUGGGGCACAGGAACACUUAUGGGGCACAGGAACGCUUAUGGGGCACAGGAGCACUUAUGGGGCAGAGAGGUACUUAUGGGGCACAGAAACACGGGGCAGAGGAGUACUUAUGGGGCACAGGAACACUUAUGGGGCACAGAAACACGGGGCAGAGGAGCACUUAUGGGGCAGAGGAACACUUAUGGGGCAGAGAGGCACUUAUGGGACAGAAGAGCACUUAUGGGGCACAGAAACAUGGGGCAGAGGAGUACUUAUGGGGCAGAGGAGCACUUAUGGGGCAGAGAGGCACUUAUGGGGCAGAGAGGUACUUAUGGGGCAGAGGAGUACAUAACCCCCAGCCCCACAUCUCUGCCCCCCAUAACCCCCAGCCCCACAUCUCUGCCCCCCACACCCCACAUCCCCC
ensembl:lncRNA